GGAUGAACGCUGGCGGCGUGCUUAACACAUGCAAGUCGAACGAUUAACCCGCCCUCGGGCGGUUAUAGAGUGGCGAACGGGUGAGUAACACGUGACCAACCUGCCCCUUGCUCCGGGACAACCCAGGGAAACCUCGGCUAAUACCGGAUACUCCGCGCAGCCCGCAUGGGAGGCGCGGGAAAGCCCAGACGGCAAGGGAUGGGGUCGCGGCCCAUUAGGUAGACGGCGGGGUAACGGCCCACCGUGCCCGCGAUGGGUAGCCGGGUUGAGAGACCGAUCGGCCACAUUGGGACUGAGAUACGGCCCAGACUCCUACGGGAGGCAGCAGUGGGGAAUUUUGCGCAAUGGGGGAAACCCUGACGCAGCAACGCCGCGUGCGGGACGAAGGCCUUCGGGUUGUAAACCGCUUUCAGCAGGGAAUAUAGUGAAGGUACCUGCAGAAGAAGCUCCGGCUAACUACGUGCCAGCAGCCGCGGUAAUACGUAGGGAGCGAGCGUUAUCCGGAUUCAUUGGGCGUAAAGCGCGCGUAGGCGGCCCGUCAAGCGGGGUUUCAAAUCCAGGGGCUCAACCUCUGGCCGGACCCCGAACUGGCGGGCUCGAGUGCGGUAGAGGAAGGUGGAAUUCCCAGUGUAGCGGUGAAAUGCGCAGAUAUUGGGAAGAACACCGAUGGCGAAGGCAGCCUUCUGGGCCGCCACUGACGCUGAGGCGCGAAAGCUAGGGGAGCGAACAGGAUUAGAUACCCUGGUAGUCCUAGCCGUAAACGAUGGGCACUAGGUGUGGGGGAGCAUCUCCUCCGUGCCGCAGCCAACGCAUUAAGUGCCCCGCCUGGGGAGUACGGCCGCAAGGCUAAAACUCAAAGGAAU
rnacentral:rRNA from 1 species